rnacentral:lncRNA from 1 species
CUGGAUGAAUCUGGACCAACUCCAACCCAACCCCAGUACUUGUAGAUGUUAUACAUACAAUAGAUGUUAUAUAUUCAGUCAUCCACUUCUGACUGUCCGCUCGAGCGGCUCGAUGAGCUUAAUUUGAGGGCAAAGAACACAUGUUAAGAUCUAUCUAUAACAUCUCUCGCCACAUCUUAGUUUCGAUUUAGUGAUGCAAAAAUAAGUUUAAUACUGUAUUUAGCAACGCUGAAACUAGAAUUGGUAAGUACGCCCUAUCGUGGCACCUACAUGCUCCUGGUCACCUGUAUGCUCAUCUAAUUACAGUGGCGUUUGAAAUAGUUUUGAAACUGAUUAGAUGGAUGUGUGAAGUGUU